rnacentral:lncRNA from 1 species
AAAAGUCCAUUUGGAUUGGUUACUUUACCUUUUUAGCCACACGACGCUGGUUCCCUCUGCUGCUACACUGCUCUUUGCUCUUUGCUGGUUUCCUUUGCUGCUACGCUGGUUCCCUCUGCUGCUACACUGCUCUCUGCUCUUUGCUCUUUGCUGGUUCCCUCUGCUGCUACACUGCUCUCUGCCCUCUGCUUUGUUCUGCCCUCUGCUGGUGAGUUUAUCUUUUUCUUCUCUUCUUCUGUAUAUUGAUUGAUUUUCGUCUGGGAUUGAUUUUCCUGAGUUUAUCUUUGCCCUCUGCUGCUGGUUGGAUAUAUUUUUUUUGUUGGAUAUAUUUGGUUAAACUUAUGUUGCUGGAUCUUUAAGAAGAUACCAAGUAGGAUGGUGUUUUUUGUGCCAAACUUACCGGCCAUUUUUUGUGCUUCUUCCUCAGUCAAAUCCACCACGAACCCAUUAAAACUCUUUUUGUAGCUGUACAGCACUGUCUUCGACUCACUGCAUUCAUUCCAAUUGCAUGCUCAAUCUCAAUCACCAGUAGUAGGUUUUAUUUUGUUUUGGGAAUAAUUAUAAGAAAUUGGCUUCCUUCAUUUUAAGAUAAAGAUUGCAUUUCACUUUCACUUUCUAUAUCCAUUUUGAAUGGGUAAAAAAAAAGCAAGAGCUUAUCAUCACCAGCAGAAAGAGACAGAGACCUUUUCUCUUUCGAAAAGGGACUGAUAAGUUGUAUCAAAUGUUCAAAAUGUUCCCAUAUAUUAUACAGCAUUGAAUCCAUAUAUUAGUUUUAUUAACUAAUAAUAGAGCUACCUAAAGUUGGUAUUAAGUUUAGAUAUGCAUUUAAAAAGUGACAUAAGAGUAAAUUAAUUUAAUUAGUGAAUCACUGUCGCUACUGUCAGCCUGUCGAAGCCCUCCCGGUGGGGUGAGAACCGCUUGGAAAGUGGCUGUUGCAACCAGUGCAGCCACCACUAGCAAAGCAUCAAGUGUUUCGGUCGAGAUAUUUGUUUUCUGGCCUUUUAGGAACCGUAUGACAUUAUCAAGAAGUGUAGGCUUUGGUUCAAAACUUACUUGCUUCAUGGAAGGAAUAGCAUUAAUGUUGUUAGUCUUCAUUACAUCACUAUGUUUAGCUCCUGCUUGGAUUAAAACAUCUUUCAUGUCUGGAUUAUUGUCAGCACGAUCAACAAUGUCCAGAACUGUUAAACCUUCUAAGCUUUUUGCAUUCACGUUGAUUUUAGAGUUUAGUAACGAUUUCACAACCUGCAUGGUAGGAUUUUGCAAUGAUCAUCUUAUUGCCAUUGAAGAAAGGACUAUCAUGGUUAAAUUAUCCUAAUAGUUCAUGUACUAUGUGGUUCUAGUGGAUUUGGUCCUGCA